CACUCUCAUGAUUUGGAGAUAGCCUCGUAGAAAUGACAACCACAAUGUUAAUACUAACAUAUGUAUUACAUGGUUUGUUUGUUCUUUCGCUUAAUAUUUUCAGAGCACCUACCUAUUAUAGGCACUGUCACUUCUCACAAAACUGGGACAACUAACUGUUUAUCCAACAUCUGCUGGCUAAAUAAAGACAUGAUCUUCACCUUUUGGGAUUGUUAAUUUAAAAUGGUUCCAUAAGAGCAAUGCAAAGACAGAGAUAUUUGGCAGCACUGCAGCUGGUGAUUUAUAUGGCUCUUCACAAGGUGUUAUUUUGGGGUAUCAAGGUAUGGAUGCUUAAAUCAGCUGCAGGAAGUAAGAAAGAAGAAAAAAGGAGUGAUAAAGAUAAAAAAAAAUCAACCUUGGUCCUUCCACCAAGACCCAUUAAUUUCCAUAUCAUCAUCUGCAUAAGAGGGAAGAUUCCUACAUGACCAGAUUAUAACGAAAGACAAAAUAUAUGCUGCAGUUGGGGUGGAG
rnacentral:lncRNA from 1 species